rnacentral:rRNA from 1 species
ACUCCUACGGGAGGCAGCAGUGGGAAUAUUGCACAAUGGGCGCAAGCCUGAUGCAGCCAUGCCGCGUGUAUGAAGAAGGCCUUCGGGUUGUAAAGUACUUACAGUCAGCUGAGGAAGGAGUAGUGUAGUUAAUAGCUGCAUUAUUUGACGUUAGCUGCAGAAGAAGCACCGGCUAACUCCGUGCCAGCAGCCGCGGUAAUACGGAGGGUGCGAGCGUUAAUCGGAAUUACUGGGCGUAAAGCGCAUGCAGGUGGUUUGUUAAGUCAGAUGUGAAAGCCCGGGGCUCAACCUCGGAAUAGCAUUUGAAACUGGCAGACUAGAGUACUGUAGAGGGGUAGAAUUUCAGGUGUAGCGGUGAAAUGCGUAGAGAUCUGAAGGAAUACCGGUGGCGAAGGCGGCCCCUGCAGCAGAUACUGACACUCAGAUGCGAAAGCGUGGGGAGCAAACAGGAUUAGAUACCCUGGUAGGCUCU